CUGUGCUUAAAGAAAAGAUCAUGUGAAGCCACAGAAAAAGGCAGCCAUCUACAAGCCAAGAAUAGAGGACUCAGAAGAAAACCAACCUACCAAUACCUCAGUCUUGGACUUGCAGUUUUCAGAAAUCUGGGACAUUGGACGAAGGCAAGUGAAGAAUGGUCUGACUGAGGAAAAACUCAUAACGCGGUUUUCACAUGUUGAGCUACGGGAGGAAGAGAAUGGAUCAACCACAGGAUGGAAGAGAUCAGAGCAUACCCUUCAUGAGGACAAGGAUCUCUGUCUUUUUAUUCCUAGGAGAGUACCUGGCAGACAGCACAGCAAGAAGACAGUCAUCUGCAAGCCAUAGAGACAGCCCUCAACAGAACCCAAUCACCCUCACCAGAGCCCGAUCAUGCUGGCACCCUGAUCUCGAACUUCAGCCUCCAGAAUCAAGAGCAUAUAAACCUCUGUUGUUUGAGGCUCCCCGUUGAUGUUAUUUUGUUAGGGUAGCUGGGCUAACUAAGAAGAUGACCAAGACAAUUUUGAUGAGUACUUAUUAGAUAUUUUGCAGAAUGUCUCUC